GUUGUCUGUCAGUCUCUCUUCUGGCCAAUGAACGCGUCGCCUCCUCCCAUUUUUCUACAAAAGCCUCCGUUUCUCUCGCAGAAAACUCACAAUCGUCGCAUUCACAUGGGUCCCUUCCAUUCCCGCCUCUCCGGUGUUGCAGGUGAAAUUGUUUCGCCUGGGCACCGGAAAAAAAACUUGGGUAAAAUGGGACGUCGUAUCCGCAUCCCACUCGACUAUGCCGAGAGACAUGGUUACAUCAAGGGACUCGUGAAGGACAUCAUCCACGACCCAGGAAGAGGAGCCCCACUUGCUAUUAUCGCUUUCCGCGACCCAUACAAGGGAUGGGCCGGCUACGGAGAUCGCUGAGACUGCCAAAGAAGCGAAGAGAUCGGACUCAUUGAGCCCAGAUGUACCAGGCGGUUCAAAGACUGAACAGUGGCAGACAAACGGGUACCUGCUGCUUCAAUGUAAAAUAUCUGGGAUCAGUGGAACUGUACGAGUCUCGUGGGAUGCAAGUGGACUGUUGGUAGAGGACUGUUGGUAGAUCAGACGAAGGUUCCCAGUCGCAAUCACAAAAAUCAGAAAAUAAUCAGGAAAUCGAAGGGUUCUUGUGCCCAAUGUGUAUGGCAGAGCUUGGUGGACCUGAUGAACUUACUGUUCAUUUUGAAAAAGACCAUUCUGACACAUCAACCAACAGAAAUCAUCCCGAGUACACUCCCCCUCAGCAGUCUCCACUUGCAUUUUCUACAAAAGAUCAAGAAAUUGAAGAACUUCGGAUAAGAGUUGACGAAGAGAAACGUUUUGCUGAACGGAUAAAAGAAGAAAUCGGUAAUAUUAAAUCAGUGAUUGCGAUAGCUUCAGAAGUCACAGAAGAUGAGAUUCCAUACAUGGCGCAGCAGAUUCAAGUUCACACAGCAGACAAAAAUGGAGGAUCUGAAAAGAGAGCUGAAAGUUGUGAAAUCAGAUGUUGUCGGGUACGAAAUCGAGGUUUCUCGACUUGAAAAGAGGCUCGAUCAGAGGCCUUCCGAAGAUGAUGAUGUAACGGCAACUACGCCAACGUCAUCGCCCACAACGCAGACACCAAGAAGACACGUAUCCGCCUCCCAUCCGGAGCCAAGAAGGUCGUUCAAUCGGUCAACCGCGCCAUGAUUGGACCCCGAAUGCAUAACCAAAAAGUGGUAAUCCACGAUUCAAGAAAGAUCGAUGUCGUCUACACGAAAAAUGGACAGAAAGUACUUCAUUUUACAAACUUUAAAAUACAGCUCCUAAGCCGCGUGAGAAGAGAUGAGCAUUUUGUGACGACCAACUUCAUUCUUCGGAUUCGAAUGAAAAACGGGGUAGAUGGGGAAUGACCACCA